rnacentral:rRNA from 1 species
GACGUAGGGGGCCAGCGUUGUUCGGAAUUACUGGGUGUAAAGGGUUCGUAGGCGGUGUGGCAAGUCGGGAGUGAAAUUUCUGGGUUCAACUCAGAGACUGCUUCCGAAACUGCUGUGCUGGAGUGUGGGAGAGGCGCGUGGAAUUGCAGGUGUAGCGGUGAAAUGCGUAGAUAUCUGCAGGAACACCCGUGGCGAAAGCGGCGCGCUGGACCACUACUGACGCUGAGGAACGAAAGCUAGGGGAGCAAACAGG